rnacentral:lncRNA from 1 species
UAAAACCCUGAACCCAUCCCACCCCUGACGAAAAACACGCGAGCCCUCACCCCCUCUCCCACUUUCCCCUCGUUCCUCUCCUCCCUUCCUCCCUCCCUAACCCUAUGCAAGGUGGCGGCUGUGCUUAGAUCUUGAAGAAGUUCACAAAUCAAGAAGAAUAUCAUGGAUAAAGGGAAAGGGAAACAAGCUCACGAGGGUGGUUCUACUUCAUCGAUGGAUCUAAUUUUGUAGUUCUUUUUCCCCUCUUCAUUUUGGAUAUGAAAAUCUUGCUAAACUCUGUUUUUCCACAACAAUAUUGGAGCAGUAUGGCAAUUUCCUUAUGGGUAGCAAGGUUUGUUUGUUUUUUCGCACCAAUUUUGCAUGCAAAAACUGCAUCUAUUUGUAGAUGCCAUCUCAUGCCAACAAAAGAAAUACAUACUUUGUUAAAUCUGACUAAAGAGGUAGAAAGAACUUUAAAACUGGUAAUUUUCUGGCCACUUUGGGUAGCAUACAUGAACACUUGUUGUUGACAUUUUAAUAAUUUUUUUUGUUUCUUGACAUUUACUGAAGGACACAAUCCUUGUAUUACACAUACUGUCUUGACAAAAACUGACACAUAGAAAGACAAUAGUCAAAACAAUGUUAUACAUGACUUUGUUUGUCUGAAGCAACCAUACCUUGCUAUUAACUGAUGGGUCUAGACUGACAAAUUUUAAUUGUAGUAGGUACAACAUACAGAUUACUCCAACCAGAGAGUCCUUUUGCAACAAAAAUUUCCCAAUAUUGAUGCUCCAGC